rnacentral:sRNA from 1 species
UCAUAAUUUAGUAGCAGUUUAAUCCAAAGAAUUGAGUGUGUAUAAAUCUGAGCUUUGUGUGGUCAUAAUUUAACUACAGCAAAAUGAUUGCAGAUAGAUAUGAUUAAAUGUUUGGUUAUCACCUCAGGUUAAUGUGCACUGUUUACAAACAGUGAAAACUGCUGCCUGCACUGUCAGCCUUAUGGGCAAUUGGUAAUGCACCAUGCAAAUGGUAUAACAUCUCUGUAUCAAUGGUACUGUACCAUGUAUGCUGUGCUGUAUCACUUUCAGGGGCCAUAUGAUAAUGAUUUUGAUCUCCGGCCAUUUUACCAAAACAUUUAUACAGGGAGGCAACUAGAUUACAAUGUAUAGAAUGUAAUUUGUAUCUCAUUGUUAUAAAUACACCAGUAAAAGGGAAAGAAUGAAUCGUGUUUGAGAUAUGUUAACAUCAAAUACCCUCGCAUUGUAUAUGGUUAUUAUUUGUAGUUCUUUCAUGCCAUAAUUUGUAAGACUGACCAUUGUAACAAUUUGAGAAAAUGUUCAAGUGUCAUAUGUAUAUGUAUAUUUGUUUGAAAAAAAAAGUUUUCAUAAAUAUGAUGAAAUAAGACAUUUGAAUCAAGACUACUAAAUAUUGAAUAAUGUAUUAAGCUAACAAAAAAUGUUAGCAUAUUAUAUGUUUAGCGGUGUUAAAGUUUUAAUUAGGUUUUGUUGAUAUGGAGAGAUAGGGCUGUUCUUUGUAAACUUGUAAAUUUAUGUUGUUGCAGGCUUCAGUCAAGAAUGAAAUCCAUUGCUGUAAAGAAUCGUACUGUCUGUAGAAUAUACUAAUCAUGUAUUACAUUUACUGUAAUUCAUUCAAUAUUAUUGUUUAUGAGCUGUAUCAUUGAUAUUUAUAUACUUAUGAACAAAUAAAUGUAUAUACUCUUU